CCUACGGGUGGCAGCAGUGAGGAAUAUUGGUCAAUGGGCGCGAGCCUGAACCAGCCAAGUCGCGUGAGGGAGGACGGCCCUCCGGGUUGUAAACCCUUUUUGCCGGGGAGCAACGGGCGUCACGUGUGGCGCCACUGACAGUACCCGGAGAAAAAGCAUCGGCUAACUUCGUGCCAGCAGCCGCGGUAAUACGGGGGAUGCGAGCGUUAUCCGGAUUGAUUGGGUUUGAAGGGUCGGUAGGCGGAUCGUUAAGUCAGUGGUAAAAUUGAGGGGCUCAACCCUUUACCGCCAUUGAAACUGGCGCUCUUGAGUGGAAGAGAGGUAUGCGGAAUGCGUGGUGUAGCGGUGAAAUGCAUAGAUAUCACGCAGAACCCCGAUUGCGAAGGCAGCAUGCCGGCUUCCGACUGACGCUGAAGCACGAAAGCGUGGGGAUCGAACAGGAUUAGAUACCCCUGUAGUC
rnacentral:rRNA from 1 species